GAUGAACGCUUUCUUCGUGCCUAACACAUGCAAGUCGAACGGAGUCCAGCCUUUAAGACCUUCGGGUCAAAGAGGGGAAGACUGAGUGGCGGACGGGUGAGUAACACGUGGGCAACCUGGCUCAUAGAGGGGGAUAACAGAGAGAAAUUUCUGCUAAUACCGCAUAAGCACACACUGCCGCAUGGCAGAGGGUGAAAAGAGAAUCGCUAUGAGAUGGACCCGCGUCUGAUUAGCCAGUUGGCAGGGUAAGAGCCUACCAAAGCGACGAUCGGUAGCCGAUCUGAGAGGAUGAACGGCCACAUUGGGACUGAGACACGGCCCAAACUCCUACGGGAGGCAGCAGUGGGGGAUAUUGCACAAUGGGGGGAACCCUGAUGCAGCGACGCCGCGUGAGUGAAGAAGUAUUUCGGUAUGUAAAGCUCUAUCAGCAGGGAAGAUAAUGACAGUACCUGAAGAAGAAGCCCCGGCUAACCACGUG
rnacentral:rRNA from 1 species